GACGAACGCUGGCGGCGUGCUUAACACAUGCAAGUCGAACGAGAGCGUAGAGAAAGCUUGCUUUUUCUACAAUCUAGUGGCAAACGGGUGAGUAACGCGUAAACAACCUGCCCUACGGAUGGGGACAACAGCUGGAAACGGCUGCUAAUACCGAAUACGUUCCGAAAGUCGCAUGACUGUCGGAAGAAAGGAUGGCCUCUAUUUAUAAGCUAUCGCCGGAGGAGGGGUUUGCGUCUGAUUAGCUAGUUGGAGGGGUAACGGCCCACCAAGGCGACGAUCAGUAGCCGGUCUGAGAGGAUGAACGGCCACAUUGGAACUGAGACACGGUCCAGACUCCUACGGGAGGCAGCAGUGGGGAAUCUUCCGCAAUGGGCGAAAGCCUGACGGAGCAACGCCGCGUGAGUGAAGACGGCCUUCGGGUUGUAAAGCUCUGUUAUACGGGACGAAUAAUCUUGUGGUUAAUACCCAUAAGAAGUGACGGUACCGUAAGAGAAAGCCACGGCUAACUACGUGCCAGCCGCCGCAGUAAUAC
rnacentral:rRNA from 1 species